UACGUAGGGUGCGAGCAUUGUCCGGAAUUAUUGGGCGUAAAGAGCUUGUAGGCGGUUUGUCGCGUCUGCUGUGAAAAUCCGGGGCUCAACCCCGGACUUGCAGUGGGUACGGGCAGACUAGAGUGUGGUAGGGGAGACUGGAAUUCCUGGUUGUAGCGGUGAAAUGCGCAGAUAUCAGGAGGAACACCGGUGGCGAAGGCGGGUCUCUGGGCCGAUGACUGACGCUUGAGGAGCGAAAGCGUGGGGAGCGAACAGG
rnacentral:rRNA from 1 species